ensembl:lncRNA
AUGCCAGGAAGAGCUGGUGAGCAGUUGCUUCAAAUUCUAUCCAACAGGCGCCACUUGGAGAGUCAUGGAAACCUCAGCAGAGCAAGCUGGAGACGUACCGCCAGAUGCUUAGAGGCUCAGAAAACCAUCUUAAGUGAUCAUCCAAAAGGAACACAUCUACUGUAUCAAGAGAUUUACAUCCAUGAAGAAUUUAAAGCUUUGGGAAGUCAAAUUACUUGUCCAAAGUCACACAUCUGGCAGAGCCGCAGUGGAACCCAUAAAGCUGUGGAUAUGCCGAGCACCUAAAGACUACGUUAUGGUGAGGUUUACCUUAUGUAAAAUAUUUUUUGCAUGUUUUACAUCAGCAUUAGGAAAAGGAAAUAACCUUUAUUCAAUGAGAUAUAUUCCAGAAGAUAUCAUUUCCAUUUUAGGAAGGUCAGAAUUCAUAGCAUAGAGAGAUCAUCAAGACAGUGUCUAAACCACACAGCAGAUCAAAUUGGUAAUGAACCCUAUGGCUCAAAACAGAGCUUCCUAUCAGAAUUGCAUAGCUCCCACCCCUGUGAAAGAACAGUAAACAAACAGAAAAGCAAAGGACACGUCACGCCCCACAGUGCUAGUGGGGUGCUCUAUGAUGCUAGCCGUAUUUCCCCCAACUUAAUUCCCAAUGGCGGCUGUUUCUGGAAAAUAAGAAACAGUGAGGGGUAUGACACAGCCUGGAGGGUGGACCACCCCACGAGAAAAUGACCCUGCAUCUCGUUCAAGGGCGAAAGGGAGUCCUGGCCAAAUCUAGGGAGGUGGAAUCGAAACGUUGAGCCACUCGACCUUCUGCCUCUGUUUAAAGUCUCAAACUGGAUUUUGUAUCAAAAAGCAGCCCAUGAGCAAAUGAGUUCCUAAGCACACCUGCAUGAAAAGGGCUUUAAAAAAUAUGCAGCCCGUGUAUAAUCUGAGAAAAAGGUAUUAUUUUUGGUUGUAGAGAACGUCCACAAUUGGAAGGUGUCAGAUAUAUUCAAUAGAUAGAUCUAAGCUUGGCUUAGCCUAUGGGGGUGCUAUUAUUUUUCAAAAGGUAAUUAUCCAUGUAUUACCUUAUCUGUUGCCAAUGUCACGUAACACUGAAAAAUUGAUCAACACACAGCCUGAAAUGUCUAAGACUCCAGAACGGAAAAACUGCCAAAUAUGGAUUAAAUUGAUAAAAAUAAUUCCAAACAUGAUUAGAGUCACUCUGUUGUAUAUCCCGCACAGCAGGUGGGAAAUCCUUGAGAAGAAUUAGGGAAAGCAGAUUAAUGGAGAAAGAUUAAAUGUGUUUCAAAAGCAGUACAAAACAUAUUUUAAAUGACAGUCCUUGCAUGGGCAACGUUAAAAGGUACUUGGACAUAUGAAAAAUUCAAGCACUUGGUUUAAAUGUACAUCGUGCAGUAAAAAAAUGGAAAUGUGUGUAUGUGGCAUAAAUUGCACACAUGGGAGAUGCUGGAGAGUGACAAAUGUAAGUGGUGAUUAAGUUAUUUUUAUUUUUACCUUUGCACUUAAUUACGCAAGUGAUACGGAAAACACAUGCUUUUUUUUUUUUUUUUUUUUGAGAUGGAGUUUUGCUUCUGUUGCCCAGUCUGGAGUGCGAUGGCAUGAUCUCGGAUAAACACAACAUUCGCCUCCUGGAUUCAAGCAAUUCUCCUGCCUCAGCCUCCUAAGCAGCUGUGCCACCAACAUGGAGAAACUUUGCACCACGCCUGGCUAAUUUUGUUAUUUUAGUAGAGAUGGGGUUUCUCCAUGUUGGUCAAGCUGGUCUCGAACUCCCGACCUCAGGUGAUCUGCCCACCUUGGCCUCCCAAAGUGCUGAAAUUACACACGUGAGCCACCAUGUCCAGCGGGAAAACACAUUCUUAUUGCAAAAAAUGCAAACAGUAUGAAGCGAAAUGUAUAGAUCCCCAUGGAAGCUGCAACCUUGUCACCAGCCCCUCCUUCUCCAUUUGCUUACUUCCCAGAAUCACCUGGCACUAACUAGGGUAUGGGGCUUCUGAGCUCCUUCUACUCAUCUAUCCACCUAUACUCCCAUGUGUACAUACAUUUUUGUUUCUUACAUAAAUGUAGACAGUAACAUAAAUAUUAUUUCAUUACUUGCUUUUUCUUCACAUACUAACAUAUCAAAGCAAUUUUUUUGUUAGUACAUAUAUAUCUACGUUAUUUUUAAACGUCUGACACAGUAUAUCAUGGCAUGGGUAUUUCAUCAUCUAUUUAGCUAAUGUCUUGUUGACGAUAUCUGGUGUGUUUGCAAUGCUUUACUCUAAAAGAGGUUCCAAAGAAGGCUUGUUUACUGAUUUUCCAAUACAUAGAUCAGAGAAGCCAUUAUUUCUAGUGAACUCACUUAAAACUCACUCAUGACUUACUAGAUAGGUAGCCUAUGAUGAACCAAUUAAUGCCACUUCUGCCCCAACAGCCAAGGCCAGGUAGCCACUUGCCAUGAUGCCUCCUCUUGAUUUAUUAGCAUUCUAAUCACUGAAACUUACGGAGGGUGGCCCAUCAUCCCACUGCAUCCUUGACAAGCCAUGCCAUCUGCUUUCUAUGGGGUGUCAGAACUCCUCUCCUUCUCUCUUGCUGGUCUGUAGAAUCACACCUUCCACAUAAUACAUAAAUAGCAGUUAUUUCUGAAUGGUGGGUGACUACGAGAUUAGUUAUGCUUAUCUAGAUUUUCUGUUUCUAUAUUGUACAUAUAUUACUUGUGUAACAAAUAAUUAAAAAGUUUUUUAAAAGGUACAUGGCAUUUUAAGAAAAAUCAGAGAAGAAGGCAGUGGGCAAGCAUGAACCUGGCAUCACACAGACUCAAUCAUGCAAC